rnacentral:rRNA from 1 species
GACGAACGCUGGCGGCGUGCUUAACACAUGCAAGUCGAACGGACAGGCCCGGCUUUUGUGGGGUGCUCGAGUGGCGAACGGGUGAGUAACACGUGAGUAACCUGCCCUUAACUUUGGGAUAACUUCAGGAAACUGGGGCUAAUACCGGAUAGGAGAUCCUGCUGCGUGGUGGGGGUUGGAAAGUUUCGGCUGUUGUGGAUGGACUCGCGGCUUAUCCGCUUGUUGGUGGGGUAGUGGCUUACCAAGGCUUUGACGGAUAGCCGGCCUGAGAGGGUGAACGGGCACAUGGGGACUGCGAUACGGAGCAGACUCCUACGGGAGGCAGUAGUCGGAAGCAUGGCACAAUGAGCGGAAGCCUGAGGUAGCAAUGUUGCGUGCGGGAUGACGGGUUUCGGGUUGUAAACAGCUGUGGCCGUUGACGAAGCGGUAGUGACGGUAACUGGUAAAGAAGCACCGGCUAACUACGUG